UGGGGAAUAUUGGACAAUGGACCAAAAGUCUGAUCCAGCAAUUCUGUGUGCACGAUGACGUUUUUCGGAAUGUGAAGUGCUUUCAGUUGGGAAGAAAAAAAUGACGGUACCAACAGAAGAAGUGACGGCUAAAUACGUGCCAGCAGCCGCGGUAAUACGUAUGUCACAAGCGUUAUCCGGAUUUAUUGGGCGUAAAGCGCGUCUAGGUGGUUAUGUAAGUCUGAUGUGAAAAUGCAGGGCUCAACUCUGUAUUGCGUUGGAAACUGCAUGACUAGAGUACUGGAGAGGUAAGCGGAACUACAAGUGUAGAGGUGAAAUUCGUAGAUAUUUGUAGGAAUGCCGAUGGGGAAGCCAGCUUACUGGACAGAUACUGACGCUAAAGCGCGAAAGCGUGGGUAGCAAACAGGAUUAGAUACCCUGGUAGUCCACGCCGUAAACGAUGAUUACUAGGUGUUGGGGGUCGAACCUCAGCGCCCAAGCUAACGCGAUAAGUAAUCCGCCUGGGGAGUACGUACGCAAGUAUG
rnacentral:rRNA from 1 species